rnacentral:lncRNA from 1 species
UGAAAUCAAAAUCACAUACAAAACAAAUUUAUUGUCAAUUCUUUUAAAUGGUGAGGCAAACACUGUCACAACUUGAGUUUGAAAAUAUCUAUCAGCAUCACAUUUGAUUUCAAAAGAUCCUUUUUUUACCUCUGAAAACAAUUUUAAACAAUGAUUCACUCGGGAAGCAGUUAGAAGAACAAUUGCAGAAAUGCAGAAAAAAUAAAAGGGAAACCAAAAUUUUUGUGUUCAUCCUUAUGUGCCUUCGGUAUACUGCCUUUCUUAAUAGUCCUUUCACAUUUUGAUUUAGUAGACAAUGCCACACGUUUUGACAUAAAACCAAAAUAAAAUUGAAAGUAUAGAGUACUACCAUUAGGCAGAAGGUUUCCUUCAUAAAACAGCAGAAGGUUUCCUUCAUAAAACAGCUCCCCAGAUUCUGGCCAAAUUUCUUGCUUCGACCCAUCAAUGGAGGUAAAUGAGAUAAAAGAUUCUGUUGGAUGCAGAAGGGUGGGGUGCACUCUCAGACAAACCUGCCUGCAGCAGAAAGUAAGAGUUGCAGAGUUUGUGUAGAUAAACAAGAAAACCAUAACACGCACACAAGUAGCAACGAGCUUUUCAUGUUGCGAAAAAGAGGCAGGGAGGCAAUUUCUCUUUAAUUUUUUUAAAGAGAAAAAUCAUAUACUUGAAUUUCCAGAAACAAUAAUAUUACACAUAUUAAAAUAUUAAUAUAGAAGCCUUU